CCGUAGGAGGCGAGCGUUAUCCGGCUUUCCUGGGCUUCCCUCUCUUUCCUUCUUUUCUCUCCUUCGUGCUUUCCAGCUCCCAGGCUUAACCGGGAGAGGACGUGCGAGACUGUCGGACUAGAGGCAGGUAGAGGCAAGUGGAAUUCCGGGUGUAGUGGUGAAAUGCGUAGAGAUCCGGAGGAACCCCGGUGGCGAAGGCGACUUGCUGGGCCUGAACUUACGCUCAGACGCGAAAGCAUGGGGAGCGAACGG
rnacentral:rRNA from 1 species